rnacentral:lncRNA from 1 species
CAAAGAAGUGUGUGUCCUGGCCAGCGCCAUUUUGGGGAUUCCGGAUGUCUAUCAGAAACACUAAGGUUUUCAACAUGAGAAGCAACGCUUGAGCCACCAAAGAGGAUCCCAAGGAGGAUAAGAACAAGUCAAUGGAAGUCACUUUAUAACUUGGAAUGAGAAUCUCAAGAGUGAGCCAUGGCAAGCAAGAGAGUGGGAAAACUAGCUACAUAAGAAAUACAAGAAGAAACCCUAUAGCCCAGAUAAGACUGGGUUUUCCCUCUUCUGUUUUCUCCCAGAGGGAGCAAACCAGUUUACUUAACUGACUUAGCAGAUCGCUCUUCUUGUUUCCUGGUGCCUCAGGUGGCUCAAGUUUUCCACUGCAGAAGGAAAUUCAGCUCUGUUUCCUGAACACAGAUGACAGAGGAUGUGGUUAUAAGGGCCUUUCAUUUGGAGCAUCCCACCCACCAUUCUGAGCAAAGGGUCACCAGAUACCCGCGGCCUGCCAGGCUUGCCCAGUGGAAUCUCCGCAUAGCCAUCUGGAUACCCACCCGAUGCCAGCAGAUACGCAGGCUGUCCUUAUCCCCCAGCGGUCCACACCCCGCCACAAGUUCCCAGUUCCCUCCCCAGCCUCCUGUGACCACUGCUGGUUCCAGCAGCGAUGGCGGACACCAUCCGGGCCUCUCUCCUGUCAGCGCACCGACAAACCAAGAUGGCGGACAAGGAAGAACCGGAUCGGGCCAGGCGGGGUUCAGUGCCACGAAACAAACAGGAAAACCUGAAAGAAAAGAUCACCAGAACCUGCCGGAGAAGCCAAGCGCCAGUUUUCAUCAACAGGUAGCUGAAGUUGAUAAAAACAGAUCUUUGAAAGAUGAAGGAGCUGGGAUGCUCCAUGUGGAAGCAGUGACACUGACAAAGCUGCCAUUCCCUGAGCUGUCUCAAAGGGAAUGCGUCUGGAGCCCCGUGUCCCGGAGCCCCGUGUCCCGGAGCCCCGUGUCCCGGAUGAGCGGUGUCCCGGAUGAGCGGUGUCCCGGAUGA